ensembl:lncRNA
CCUAAAAUUGAAAAUUAACCAAAAUUAUAAUGCUGAAAAGAAUGGAAGAGGCUGCAGAAGUACAGCUGGUAGUGGGGCUUUGCUGAAUUAUUCAAAUUACGUUAGGGAGAAAGCUACCAUACAUCGAAACCAACACUAAUUUUUCUUUAAAAAAAUUUCACCAGAUACAUGCCAAACCACUGUGAGUGCAUAACAUUCUGAAACUCGGCAAAUGCAUGUUGACAUAUUCGAGGUGUUGUCAUGAUGCAUUUGUAUCGAUCUGUUUAUCUCUUAACAGGAGUUUAAUUAAGCAAGAAAUUCUGCCAAGUAGUUCCCCCAGACUGCCCUUGGAACUGGGCUUUCUCUGGAUCCUCUGAAACUCAAGGGUUAAUAUGUUCACUCUUUAGAAUGUAUUGACCCUAUGGUAAGCGGAUUCCCGAGGGAGGGAUUGGUAGGAGGGGCGUGGGCGAAAGGCAUCGCCCAGUGGUGGUGCCUACUACGCCUCCCCACGUUCGAACUUCUCCAGAGGUUGCAGAGUUCGAGUUGUGGAGCCUAGUUCUGACCGUAUUUCCUAUUUAAAAAGAGAGAAAGUGGGGGAGAGAGAGAACAAUAGCUGGGGGUGGGGUAGAGGAGGAAGGGAAUGAAGGGAACGAUUUCUCUUUGGCACCAAUAAACAUCUCAUUAUCUUUUGACACAACUUAGUCAAAAGGUUUCUGCCGCCGGAGAAAGGCCUUUUUGCACUGGGAUGGAAAGCCAAAGAUUUCUCAGGCACUUAACAUCUCUAGUUGCUUACAACGUCUACAGGGUCAGGAAACAGCGUCAUCUAUAGAUAGAACAGCACGGCUUCUUGCUGGAGUCUUCCUUGGUGCGUUCCUAAAUUUGGGUUUUUGAUCUCCCCAGCUUGGUUCUGCGUCUCAGCCAAUCAUGCCCCUCCAACCCCAAGGUCGCAGCGUUUGUGCUCGGCGGGCAGUAACUCCAAGACCCGCAUAGCCUCCUCCCACCCCCACCGCCCCGACACACCAGCUUGAGGCAAAGACCCUGAAAAGCAGCCUCGAAGCGGUUCAGAGGCCAGUUAUUUCGGAAACCUUCCCCCAAGGGGAGGAAAGAUUUCGAAGGGGCUACACCGUCCAGAGAUUCAUCAGACUACACCUGCCUUUGCAAAUGUCCGCAUACCUGUGGUUCUAAAGGAGCCCCAUCGCGAGCUCCGUUUGAUAAUCUUGUCGCCUCAAAAUCUAAAAUCACGGCCACAUGUAAAGCCCUCUUGGGAUUCACCUAGGAUUAGCUGUGAAUAAUAAUUCUUAAAUAGAUUUUAGCUUGGAAUCUCCAGCCGAGUCUUUCCACACCUUAUAGAAACAUGGUACUUUUCGCAGGCUCCAGUCACAAGCUGCACCAAAUACAUCAACAACAUAGAAAACAAGAAAGACAAAUCGAAUACUUAAGGAUCCCAUUCUCAUUCGCAUCCUUUCACUGAACAGAACAACAGCCCUUUUUACUGUUAAAGGGGAUAAAAGGUCAGCACAGAGAAAUCUAUAAAGCAAAGUUGUAGCCCAUGAUAAAUUACAACGGCAACAUGUAUCUUGGAAACGGUGAGAAGAGAAAUAAGAACUGUUCCUUGAAGUAUGCAAGAAAUAAAAACUUACCAUUAGUGAAUAUCUCUUAAGCAAUGAUCAGGGUCUAGAAAUCUAUACUGAACCGAAGCACAGGAGAAUAUUUUUCUGAGUCUCAGGGCAGAAGCUCUUUCUCUAUAUUCUUGGUUGAGUGAGCACAUCCAGGUGUGAAAUUGUUUGCACACCCCAGCACCUCUUAUAUUGCCAGCAAAAUUAGCUGUUAUUACUGUCACUGUUUAGUGAUGGUUAGCGUGGUACAAAAAAAAAAAAAAAAAA